GAAGUUGAGUGCUUGCAUUUAACUGAUUUGACAUUAAGACGAGUGGCGAACUGGUGAGUAACACGUGGGUAACUUGCCCCGAAGCGGGGGAUAACAUUUGGAAACAGGUGCUAAUACCGCAUAACAACAAAAACCACAUGGUUUUUGUUUAAAAGAUGGUUUCGGCUAUCACUUUGGGAUGGACCCGCGGCGUAUUAGCUAGUUGGUGAGGUAAUGGCUCACCAAGGCAAUGAUACGUAGCCGACCUGAGAGGGUAAUCGGCCACAUUGGGACUGAGACACGGCCCAAACUCCUACGGGAGGCAGCAGUAGGGAAUCUUCCACAAUGGACGAAAGUCUGAUGGAGCAACGCCGCGUGAGUGAUGAAGGGUUUCGGCUCGUAAAACUCUGUUGUUGGAGAAGAACGGGUGUCAGAGUAACUGUUGACAUCGUGACGGUAUCCAACCAGAAAGCCACGGCUAACUACGUGCCAGCAGCCGCGGUAAUACGUAGGUGGCAAGCGUUGUCUGGAUUUAUUGGGCGUAAAGCGAGCGCAGGCGGUUUUUUAGGUCUGAUGUGAAAGCCUUCGGCUUAACCGGAGAAGUGCAUCGGAAACCGGGAGACUUGAGUGCAGAAGAGGACAGUGGAACUCCAUGUGUAGCGGUGAAAUGCGUAGAUAUAUGGAAGAACACCAGUGGCGAAGGCGGCUGUCUGGUCUGCAACUGACGCUGAGGCUCGAAAGCAUGGGUAGCGAACAGGAUUAGAUACCCUGGUAGUCCAUGCCGUAAACGAUGAGUGCUAAGUGUUGGAGGGUUUCCGCCCUUCAGUGCUGCAGCUAACGCAUUAAGCACUC
rnacentral:rRNA from 1 species